rnacentral:rRNA from 1 species
AUGGAGCAGUCCCGGCAAUUCUUCCGGACGCCGCCCGACCAAGCCCGUGUGCGCAAGACUGGCUUCGUCGAGGUCCGCUCGUUCUGGAACAUUUACCGGAGCUUCGACAGGCUGUGGGUGAUGCUGGUGCUCUACUUGCAGGCCGCAACCAUUGUUGCGUGGGAUGGUGAGACUUGGCCGUGGCAGAAUCUCACGGGAAACCACCGUGCAGCCCAGGUGCGUCUGCUCACCGUCUUCAUCACCUGGGCGGCACUACGCUUCCUGCAGUCGCUGCUGGACAUCGGCACACAGUUACGCCGCGCGUUCAGGGAUGGACGCAUGUUUGCAGUGCGCAUGGUGCUCAAGGCCAUUGUGGCAGCUGCGUGGGUUGUUGUAUUUGCUGUGCUGUACAAGGGAAUCUGGAGCCAGAGGGACAGUGACCGUGGCUGGUCGCGGGGGACCGAUUCUCGAAUCAUGAAGUUCUUGUAUGCAGCAGCAGCGUUUCUGAUCCCCGAGGUCCUUGCCACCGUGCUCUUUAUUAUUCCUUGGGUGCGGAAUGCAUUGGAGAAGACAAAUUGGAAGAUCUGCUAUGCCCUCACCUGGUGGUUUCAGAGCCGCAGCUUCGUUGGCCGCGGGCUUCGUGAGGGCACCUUUGACAAUGUGAAAUAUUCUAUUUUCUGGGUGCUUCUGCUUGCUGUGAAGUUUGCCUUUAGCUAUUUCCUCCAGAUCAGGCCACUUGUAAAACCUACAAAAGAGAUAUACAGGCUGAGUAAGGUCACAUAUGCUUGGCAUGAGUUCUUUGGGCAGAGCAACCGAUUUGCUGUGUUUAUAUUGUGGUUGCCAGUAGUUUUGAUCUACCUCAUGGAUAACCAGAUCUGGUAUGCAAUCUUCUCUUCCAUGGCCGGUGCAUUUGUGGGGCUGUUUGCACACUUGGGAGAGAUCCGUGACAUGAAACAACUGAGGCUGAGGUUCCAAUUCUUUGCAAGUGCCAUGUCAUUCAACAUCAUGCCAGAGGAGCAACAUGUGAAUGAGCGCACUUUCUUGCCCAACCGGCUUCGGAAUUUCUGGCAGCGACUGCAGCUACGGUACGGGUUCAGCCGAUCGUUCCGUAAGAUCGAGUCAAAUCAGGUAGAAGCACGGCGGUUUGCACUUAUUUGGAAUGAGAUUAUCACCAAGUUCAGGGAGGAGGAUAUUGUAAGUGAUCUUGAAGUUGAGCUCCUCGAGCUACCACCUGAGCUGUGGAAUGUGCGUGUGAUCCGUUGGCCGUGCUUCUUGCUUUGUAAUGAGCUGUCACUGGCACUUGGGCAGGCAAAGGAGGUCCAAGGACCUGAUCGCAGGCUCUGGAGGAAAAUCUGCAAGAAUGAUUAUCGUCGUUGUGCGGUCAUUGAGGUGUAUGAUAGUACCAAAUACAUGCUGCUAGAGAUCAUCAAGGAAAGGACUGAGGAGCACGGCAUUGUGACGCAAUUGUUUCGCGAGUUCGAUGAAUCCAUGAAUUUGGAUAAGUUCACUGUGGAGUAUAAGAUGUCUGUGCUGCAAAACGUCCAUGCAAAGCUUGUAGCACUGCUAAGCCUACUUCUCAAGCCCAACAAGGAUAUCACAAAGAUUGUCAAUGCUCUUCAGACUCUCUAUGAUGUUGUGAUUCGUGACUUCCAGGCUGAGAAAAGGAGCAUGGAACAGCUGAGGAACGAAGGCCUGGCACAAUCAAGGCCAACCAGCCUUCUCUUUGUGGACACUGUCGUGCUGCCUGAUGAGGAGAAUGCCACUUUCUAUAAGCAGGUACGGCGCAUGCACACCAUCCUGACCUCACGUGACUCUAUGGUCAAUGUCCCAAAGAAUCUUGAAGCUCGGCGGAGGAUUGCAUUUUUCAGCAAUUCAUUGUUCAUGAACAUACCACGGGCAACCCAGGUGGAGAAGAUGAUGGCCUUCAGUGUCUUGACACCAUAUUAUAACGAAGAGGUGUUGUACAACAAGGACCAGCUCUAUAAGGAGAAUGAAGAUGGCAUAUCAAUACUAUACUAUCUGAAACAGAUCUACCCAGAUGAGUGGGAGUUCUUUGUUGAGCGCAUGAAGCGUGAGGGGAUGUCUGAUAUGAAGGAGCUGUACAGUGAGAAGCAAAGGUUAAGAGAUCUUCGGCACUGGGUCUCAUACAGGGGACAGACACUAUCACGAACUGUGAGGGGGAUGAUGUACUAUUAUGAUGCUCUCAAGAUGCUGACCUUUCUGGAUUCUGCCUCUGAACAUGACUUAAGAACUGGAUCGAGGGAGCUUGCUACAAUGGGUUCCUCAAGAUUUGGAUCCUCGAGAAGAGAAGGGAGUGCUGGUGGCUCAGGGUAUUAUAGCAGGGCCUCUUCGUCACACACACUGAGCAGAGCAACCAGUGGUGUGAGCUCUUUGUUUAAAGGUAGCGAGUAUGGGACUGUCCUUAUGAAAUACACUUAUGUGGUUGCAUGCCAAAUUUAUGGCCAGCAGAAAGCUAAAAAUGAUCCGCAUGCUUAUGAGAUAUUGGAGCUAAUGAAGAAUUAUGAAGCACUUCGUGUUGCCUAUGUUGACGAAAAACACUCGGCUGGUGCCGAACCAGAGUACUUCUCCGUCCUUGUGAAAUACGACCAGCAGUUGCAGAAAGAGGUUGAAAUUUAUCGAGUGAAGUUGCCUGGGCCACUGAAGCUUGGUGAAGGCAAGCCAGAGAACCAGAAUCAUGCACUCAUCUUCACAAGGGGUGAUGCGGUUCAAACUAUUGAUAUGAACCAAGACAAUUACUUUGAAGAGGCUCUGAAGAUGAGAAAUCUGCUAGAAGAGUUCAAUCGCCAUUAUGGAAUUCGCAAGCCAAAAAUCCUUGGGGUUCGGGAACAUGUGUUCACUGGCUCUGUAUCUUCUCUAGCUUGGUUUAUGUCUGCCCAAGAAACAAGUUUUGUCACUCUGGGGCAGCGAGUUCUAGCUAACCCACUCAAGGUUAGAAUGCAUUAUGGCCACCCAGAUGUGUUUGAUCGUCUUUGGUUCUUGGGCCGAGGUGGUAUUAGUAAAGCAUCAAGAGUAAUCAACAUCAGUGAGGAUAUCUUUGCUGGAUUCAAUUGUACCCUCCGUGGAGGCAAUGUUACACACCAUGAGUACAUCCAGGUUGGUAAAGGAAGGGAUGUGGGGCUCAACCAGGUUUCUAUGUUUGAAGCCAAGGUUGCUAGUGGCAAUGGUGAGCAAACUCUGAGCCGUGAUGUUUACAGACUGGGCCACAGAUUGGAUUUCUUUCGGAUGCUCUCGUUUUUUUAUACAACCAUUGGAUUCUAUUUCAACACAAUGAUGGUUGUACUAACUGUCUAUGCAUUUGUCUGGGGGCGAUUUUAUCUUGCACUUAGUGGGCUCGAGGAGUACAUCACAAAGAACACUAGCACUACUAAUAAUGCAGCCCUGGGAGCUGUCCUGAAUCAGCAGUUCGUCAUACAGCUGGGCCUGUUCACAGCAUUGCCCAUGAUUAUUGAAAAUUCACUUGAGCAUGGUUUCCUCAAUGCUGUAUGGGAUUUCUUAAAAAUGCAAUUGCAGUUUGCAUCUGUUUUCUACACCUUCUCAAUGGGAACCAAGACACAUUAUUAUGGGCGGACAAUCCUUCAUGGAGGUGCAAAGUAUCGAGCUACUGGCCGUGGAUUUGUUGUGGAGCACAAGAAAUUCGCCGAGAACUACAGGCUAUAUGCCCGUAGCCAUUUUCUAAAAGCAAUAGAGCUCGGCGUGAUAUUGGUUCUCUAUGCAUCUUACAGCAGCAGCGCUGGGAAUACAUUUGUGUACAUCCUGCUGACGCUUUCCAGUUGGUUUUUAGUAUCCUCGUGGGUUUUGGCCCCCUUCAUCUUUAAUCCAUCAGGUUUGGACUGGCUGAAGAAUUUUAAUGAUUUUGAGGAUUUCCUAAGCUGGAUUUGGUUCCAGGGUGGAAUCUCAGUGAAGUCAGAUCAAAGCUGGGAAAAGUGGUGGGAGGAGGAAACUGAUCACCUUAGGACCUCUGGUCUGUGGGGGAGCAUCUUGGAAAUCAUUAUAGACCUCCGAUAUUUCUUCUUUCAGUAUGCAAUUGUUUACCGGCUUCACAUUGCCAGUGAGAGUAGAAGCAUCCUUGUCUAUCUUCUUUCAUGGACAUGCAUACUGCUGGCUUUUGUGGCUCUUGUCGCAGUUGCUUACUUCCGAGACAGAUACGCAGCAAAGAAGCACAUAAGGUAUCGGCUUGUCCAAGCUAUAAUUGUUGGUGCCACUGUGACUGGUAUUGUCCUGUUGAUAGAAUUCACAAAUUUCCAGUUCAUUGAUGCCUUUACUAGUCUCUUGGCUUUUCUGCCAACUGGCUGGGGAAUCAUAUCUAUUGCUCUGGUGUUCAAGCCAUACCUGAGGAGGAAAUGCAAACAAGGAUCCUAUUCAAUGAAGCCUUCAGCCGAGGACUUCAUAUUUCUCAAAUGUUUACUGGCAAAAAAGGACAUGGAGUUUAAGCUCAACCCAUUUUCAUUUCUCAAAGUGAUCUGCUUCAUUAUUCUGGAGGGUGCAGUUCUUCUCAGUGAUAUACGGUACGUGGAUGGCACAUGGUCAAGUACUGUAGUGUAG